GCCCCGCCCGGAGGGAGGGGCCGCCCCCGAUGUCACGUGACAGCAUGGGGCUAUAUAAGGGGCGCGUGGGGCCGAGGCCGCCCUUUCUGCCUGCGGCUCGGGUGUGGGUUGUGCUGCGUGGGUCCGCUUGGCCCCGGCGGCGAGCAAUGUAAGAUGAAUCGUUUGCACUUCUCUCUCUUCUGUGGCUUCAAAGGAGGCCUCCUGCUGAAUAUGAAGACUUGAUGCUACUUCACAAGGACUUGAAUAAUGCACUCAAAGAAUAAACAUCACCUGGUGCUAGGAAAAGCCACAAGAUGAGUGUGCAAGUCUGUCCUGCAGGAAGAUGGAAGAAUGCUUGUGCCUAGCAACAUUAAUUUACCUUUACUGAUGUUGGUGAAGAUGAUGCCGUUAUAACUGAAGACUUGUGAAGUGUUUCUCAUCAAGAUUGCUGUUGUGGAGCUGUGAAGUGGUGCAGUUGUUUGUGCUACAGGCAAAAAUUUGAGGAUGGAAGAACUGCCCAAGAUUUUGUGAUAGACCCUUAUUUGCUUGAGAGAAGCUGAAGGAGAGAUGUGAGAAGUAAUACCAACUUUGAGGAAAGGACUGCUGACUCUGUCUGCCACCUCACUGGGUGAGGAUCCAACUUUGGAACUGUAUAAGGAACCAGAAAGGUGGAAGAUCCCAGGAGGAUGGGUUGCACUUGCAUGAGCAGCAUUAAAAAAACAAGACUUCAUGGUGGUAAUGUUUGCCUCAUACGCUGAUUGGAGCCAAUAAAAUCUUGUGAACUCUA